GGAGGGCUGUAGCUCAAUGGUAGAGCAUUUGCUUUGCAUUCAGAAGGUCCCAGGUUCAGUUCUUAGCAUCUCCA